GAUGUUACUCGCCUAACGUCACAUGGUGCAAAGAGGUUGCAAUUGGUGAGUUCUGUUUGCAAAAGACCAACCACCUGGAAAUGCAAGCGUGGAAGCCAUGAGAGUGCCAAAAAAUGUGGAAGAUGGAGGCAGAGAGAACCAGACUUGAAUCCUGGCCCCACCUCUCACCCACACUCCCUGAACCUCAAGUUUUGCAUCUAUAAAACUGUGGUGAUAAUAAAACCUACCUAUAGGGCUGUUGAUCCAAACUGUAUUUUGUAGCUCCUCCAGGGAAGUUUUCCAGUCAACCUAAUGCUUCUCUAUGGCUGUUCAGGGAAUGAAAAAAUGAGGAAGGAAUUAAUGAAUUAUUUCAUGAGAAUGCCAUUUUCCUCUGCUUCUUUCAUGUUAAGAAUUAUAUAGAGC
rnacentral:lncRNA from 10 species